CUAACCCCCAUUCCAGGAGAAUCAUUUCUAUAGUAGUCGACCUUCCUCUUGGUUCCCCAAAGGAGCUACAGAGUCCACCCUGGUUGAUGAUUGAUAUCCUCGUUACCUCAGAGUGAAUAACUUGGUUACUUCCGCUCUGUCUGCAAAGACGGCGGUCAGCAAUGGCUUCGGCUUGUAGCUGGCUGUAUAGGAAGUGGUGAUGAUCUCGUCCCUUUCAUGUGGUCUGCCUUCGGGCGCACUGGGAGGGUAGGUAGUGAUGGACGUCUGACAGGU
rnacentral:snoRNA from 1 species